UAGGGAAUCUUCGGCAAUGGGGGGAACCCUGACCGAGCAACGCCGCGUGAGUGAAGAAGGUUUUCGGAUCGUAAAGCUCUUUUGUUAAGGAAGAACGAGUGUGAGAAUGGAAAGUUCAUGCUGUGACGGUACUUAACCAGAAAGGGACGGCUAACUACGUGCCAGCAGCCGCGGUAAUACGUAGGUCCCGAGCGUUGUCCGGAUUUAUUGGGCGUAAAGCGAGCGCAGGCGGUUAGAAAAGUCUGAAGUUAAAGGCAGUGGCUCAACCAUUGUAGGCUUUGGAAACUGUUUAGCUUGAGUGCAGAAGGGGAGAGUGGAAUUCCAUGUGUAGCGGUGAAAUGCGUAGAUAUAUGGAGGAACACCGGUGGCGAAAGCGGCUCUCUGGUCUGUAACUGACGCUGAGGCUCGAAAGCGUGGGGAGCGAACAGG
rnacentral:rRNA from 1 species